UCAUCACCGCAUCAGGUCUCCAAGGUUAGCAGCCUCUGGUCGAUAGAAUAAGGUAGAUAAGGGAAGUCGGCAAGAUAGAUCGGUACCUUCGGUAAAACGAUUGGCUCUGACGGCCGGGUGUAGGGGUCCAUCAUCAGAAGGUGUGUGCUGUGCGGGUAGUACUUGACGCCCCUGGUGGAUAGUGCAACCCAGCACGGCACGUUCUGAAGGUGAUGGAAUGACCUCGGUCUUUCCCUGCACAGUGAACGGUCAAGUCAGAACUGGAGCGGACAAGAAGAACCCGACUGUUUAAUUAAAACAAAGCAUUGCGAUGGCCGCAAU
rnacentral:rRNA from 14 species